rnacentral:misc_RNA from 1 species
CGGCACCAAAGAAAGACUUCAAGAUUGCCUGGUCGAUCUAUGUCGGCUGGAUGCCGUGGGGUUAUGCGGCGGAUACCGGCAUCGUCAAGAAAUGGGCGGACAAAUACGGCAUCACGAUCGAAGUGAAGCAGUUCAACGACUAUGUUGAGUCGAUCAACCAGUACACUGCUGGCGCAUACGAUGCGGUGACCAUCACCAAUAUGGACGCAUUGUCGAUUCCGGCUGCGGGCGGGGUGGAUACGACGGCUGUCAUU